CUGCUAAACUCGAAACUCGGAUUUGAGGACUGAAUUAUGACAGCGACACUUUUGCCCAACAGGCCUCCCCGGGAGAGGCAGGAAGACGUUUCCAAAUCAUUACUUCAUGGCAGGUCGUUGAUCCUUUUCAAGUAAAUUUUUGUAUAUGGCAUGAGAAGAAAUCUGAAUGAAAUGAGGGGAAUCGCCCUGGUGAACAAGAGAAGCCUCUUCCAGUCAGAUGGAACAGCAAGUCCAAAGGGCCUGAGAUAAUUAUUCUCCUUUUGAGAAACAGCUAACCAUGUGCCACCAAAUUGCCAUUUGACUUGAAUUACCCAUCUGGGUGUGGUCUGACCCACAAAUCCAUAAUCUUGAGCGAAUACAAUAGCACCGCAUCAUCAAAUGGA